AAAUCUUAGGAGGAAAGCUAAAUUUCCUUUCCUUUUUCCCUGCUAAGUGUCGUCCCCUACCCCCACAUUAAACCUCCAUUUUCUUAUAAGCUUCAGAGAGAUUAUUAAACCAUAUCAAAACUCAAUCAAGAACAUAUCAAGGUUCGAGUGGCUUUAUAAAGUGAACAAGCAAGGAUUUCUACUUCAUUAAGCGUAUCAGGAGCUUGUAUGUUACCAUCUACGAGAGAUAGACGAUAUCGGCCCUAUGCUGAAGCGAGAUGUCAGUAAGGGUUUGUGCACAUAGUUGUGACCGUGAGUCAUCGAGCGGGUUGGCCGGUCACUGAUCAGGAGCCUUCGGGCCGAUCACUGUGUUUGAGAAGGAGGCCUACUUCUCAACACAAGGUUACAUGAUGCGUAGUUAUGGUACAUACAUGUUAAUUGUCUGCAGACGUAUAUGAUGUUAUGAUGAUAUAUAUAUAGAAGUUUUACAGUUUUGGCAUGCACAGGUUAUUUAAAUAAAACUCCUGUGUGAUGCUUGAGAUGGCAAGUUCAAUAUAUAGCUCUAAGAGCAAGCUUUCAAGGUAUUUUGGCAUGUGACCAUUGAGUGCUUUUGAGUACUCAGCCCUACAUAUGUUUUCUAAAUGUGCAGGUUAAGCUGUGAAGCAGAUGGAAGCGAGCAGAGCAAAGUCUUGAUGUUAAUGUGUUAAAUUAGGCUCAGGAUUUCAUGUCCUCAUACAUGUAAUCCACUUGAGUUAUUUCCGCUCCCUUGUGAUUGUGAAAUAUUGUAAAGAGGUUAUUUAAAUAAGGCUGGUAGUUGCUAGAUCUGCCAAGCGUGACUUUAAAC